rnacentral:rRNA from 1 species
CAAUAGCGUAUAUUAAAGUUGUUGCAGUUAAAAAGCUCGUAGUUGGAUUUCUGGUUGAAGCGACCGGUCGGGCGUUGAUUCGUCUGCACUGGAGUCGGUUUUGGCCAUCCUCUAGGAAAGUGCGUCUGGUAUUAAGUUAUCGGGCGUAUGAUCCUGGUCUUUUACUGUGAAAAAAUUAGAGUGUUUAAAGCAGGCCUUCGCCUUGAAUACAUUAGCAUGGAAUAAUAAGAUAGGACUUUGGUCUAUUUUGUUGGUUUGCAGACCGAAGUAAUGAUUAAUAGGGAUAGUUGGGGGUAUUUAUAUUCCGAUGUCAGAGGUGAAAUCCUUAGAUUUUCGGAAGAUAAACUUAUGCGAAAGCAUUUACCAAGGAUGUUUUCAUUAA